AUGGACCUCUCCGUCACGCUGGCCCUGAACUCCCCCACGGAGCAUGGGGAGCAGCUGAGGAGGCGCCAGCACUCAUUAUCAGAGCUGAGUUAUGCAAGAGAUGAAGACGCAACAAAACUUGAGACCACGCGUGCACGGCUGUUAAAUGUUCUCAAAAGGCAUGAAGAUCUGAAAGAGCGCCUCUCGCGGGAUUCUGAUAAGCUGAUUUUUGAGCGUCUACAGAAAGAGUUUGAGGCUGCACGAGUUGCACAAACCGAAGAGAUUUCAAUAGAUGAUGAGCAGUGGAAUGAUGGCUUGCUGGCAACUAUCCGUGAGAAGGUCCAUAUAGAGGCUGAAAGGAAGGCGAUGAUCAACCUGGCAAAUGUUCCAACAGACUCUCAAUUUCAAUCAAGGACGACUUAUAGAAUCAGAAAUAAGGUUAUCUAUUGUUUGGAUGGUGCCAGAAUUGGUAUACAGUAUGAGACAUUCUUCGCUGGAGAGCCUUGUGAAAUUUAUCAUUGUGUUUUGGAGAGCAAGUCAUUCCUUGAAAAGAUGACUGUGACUGAACACACCUUACCUUUCUUUCUGCCGAUUCGAGAAGUAGAAACUGAUCACCUGUCAUCUAACGCCAUCAAGUUUAUUGAUCAUCUUGAAGAAAUUUUGCAGUCGUAUAUUGACAGGAGAGAACAGGUUCGUCUUAUCAAGGAGCUCUAUGGCAACCAAAUUGGGGAAUUGUUCUACAGUCUUCCAUAUACCUUGAUAGAGUUUACAUUGGAAGAUUUUGAAUGCAAGGUUACAGUGAGUAUCCGAUAUUCAGAUCUAAUCUUGACCCUGCCUAGUCAGGCGAGGGUCUUGGCGUGGCCGCUUCGCUCUGCAAAGAGAAUAUCCGCAGCAGACCGUCGUGCUCAGCCUGUACCAUCUCGACUCUCCUAUGCCGAGAGCGCGUUGAAGACCUUGAGUUUGCCAGAAGCAUACGCGGAGAUUGUCCUGGAGCUGCCCCGUGCUCUGAAGCAGAUGUUCUACUCUCAGGAAAGCGACUGA
rnacentral:rRNA from 1 species